rnacentral:rRNA from 1 species
UACGUAGGGUGCAGGCGUUAAUCGGAAUUACUGGGCGUAAAGCGUGCGCAGGCGGUUUGCUAAGACAGGUGUGAAAUCCCCGGGCUUAACCUGGGAACUGCGCUUGUAACUGGCAAGCUAGAGUGUGGCAGAGGGGGGUGGAAUUCCAAGUGUAGCAGUGAAAUGCGUAGAUAUCAAGUGGAACACCAGUGGCGAAGGCGAGUCUCUGGACAUUUCCUGACGCUGAGGCACGAAAGCCAGGGGAGCAAACGGG